GCCUACGGGGGGCAGCAGUAGGGAAUCUUCCACAAUGGGCGAAAGCCUGAUGGAGCAACGCCGCGUGGGUGAAGAAGGUCUUCGGAUCGUAAAACCCUGUUGUUAGAGAAGAAAGUGCGUGAGAGUAACUGUUCACGUUUCGACGGUAUCUAACCAGAAAGCCACGGCUAACUACGUGCCAGCAGCCGCGGUAAUACGUAGGUGGCAAGCGUUAUCCGGAUUUAUUGGGCGUAAAGGGAACGCAGGCAGUCUUUUAAGUCUGAUGUGAAAGCCUUCGGCUUAACCGGAGUAGUGCAUUGGAAACU
rnacentral:rRNA from 1 species